rnacentral:rRNA from 1 species
AUGAACGCUGGCGGCGUGCCUAAUACAUGCAAGUCGAGCGAACAGAUAGGGAGCUUGCUCCUUUGACGUUAGCGGCGGACGGGUGAGUAACACGUGGGUAACCUACCUAUAAGACUGGGAUAACUUCGGGAAACCGGAGCUAAUACCGGAUAACAUUUGGAACCGCAUGGUUCUAAAGUGAAAGAUGGUUUUGCUAUCACUUAUAGAUGGACCCGCGCCGUAUUAGCUAGUUGGUAAGGUAACGGCUUACCAAGGCGACGAUACGUAGCCGACCUGAGAGGGUGAUCGGCCACACUGGAACUGAGACACGGUCCAGACUCCUACGGGAGGCAGCAGUAGGGAAUCUUCCGCAAUGGGCGAAAGCCUGACGGAGCAACGCCGCGUGAGUGAUGAAGGGUUUCGGCUCGUAAAACUCUGUUAUUAGGGAAGAACAAAUGUGUAAGUAACUGUGCACGUCUUGACGGUACCUAAUCAGAAAGCCACGGCUAACUACGUG